rnacentral:lncRNA from 1 species
UGGUACUGACUAAUGACCUUAGCUUUUGUUUAUCAAGAGAAAUGAAGAAUAGAGAAGUGGUCAUAACAAGUCAAUAGGGUGCUGGGUAAGGUUUAUUCUUUGCACUUGCUUUUCAAUUUUAAUCCUUAAAUUUGAUUUCAUCUAUUGAAUCUAAAUCUAGAUUGACUUGAAACUAAAUUAAUUUUAAUUUAAAACCAACCCAAACAUGAAAUAAUCCGAACUAGAAUUCUUUGAACAAGUCAUUCAAAAAGACUUGAACUUUCGAAAAAUCCUAACCUUAAAUUUAAAUAACUUAAAUAAAAAACAACCCAAACCCAAAAUUGACCUAAACUUGAGAUAGGUUCAAAACUGAAAUCACCCAAAAUCUUUACAACCCAACUUAAUUCUUUCUAAAUUGACUUAAUCGGAGAUCAAAUCCAACCGUCCAAUUGAGAGGUAUGUUUUGCAGACUAUAUAUAGAACUGCUCGAUUCUUAAUUUGUGUAUUGAACGGUUUUCAGUGGGUUCAUUGGCCCAAACAAAAAAUAUUGAAUACUGUGUCUUUAUAUAGGAAUUAUAACCCAAAUGUUUGCAGAUGCACAUCUCCAUGGCUCUCCUUGGGCUCUCAAAGCCUUGAAUAAGAUGGGAUGCAGUAGGAGAUGGGAAUCGGGAGUCCAAGUCAAUUGAGUUGGUUGAACUUGGCCCAAACUCAAUGUGUAUAUCAAAAUUACCAAGCUGCACACAUUGAGUUCAUUAAACUUCUCAAAUAAUCAUUUUCACUGCUUC